ACCCCUCUUCUCUCCCCGUCGCAACUUGUGCCCUAACUGCCGCCCUCUCCGCCGGAAUUAAAGCCUCUCCUCUCCCUCUACUGAUCUCUUUCUUCCCGAUCCCUUCUUCCUCUUCUCUCCCAAGCUUUCUUCCUUUUCUUCACCACAGAAGUCGACGCCGACCCCAAUCGCCGGUGCCCUAGCCUCUGCCCGACUCCAGCGACACCCAUCUCCACGGUGUCACCUUGCAGUACAAUGCCGAGCUUUCUCCCCUCUGUGCUGCCAGCGACCCUCACAACUGACAGUUUCGUGCUGCCCUUCUACUUUUCUGCCGCUUCUCCUCAGCCCUAGCCAACGCUGCCGGAGUAGUGCCGACGGUCGCCUCCUUUGUGCCGGCAACCGAGUCUAGCGCCGGCUGUUCCUCUUUGCCCUAAUCUGCCGCCGGCCGAGUUCCUACUUUCCGCACGAAUCCAGUAUAGCCGAGCCCUGGCACUGUAGUUGGCCAUCAGAUUUGACCCAAAGUCGUUGUUGAUACCCUGGUUCACCCCUAUACGGUUUUUGAUCACCUCAGUGGAGGGUUUCCAGCAGCUACCUCAUCCUGUAGCAAUCAGCUUUGACUGUGAAUUGAGGACUUUGUUUCGAGACGAGCAUCUCAAUGUCCGAGUUGGACCAGACUGAUCUUAUUUUCUUAUUGGAGGCGGGUACUUUGACUUAUGUCUUUGAUAUGCAUAAUAAUAUGUUUAACAUAUAGCAGUGAUCGUGUAAUCAUUUUGUUUCGGUUGGUCACUA